GAUGAACGCUGGCGGCGUGCUUAACACAUGCAAGUCGAACGGUAAGGCCCUUCGGGGUACACGAGUGGCGAACGGGUGAGUAACACGUGGGUGAUCUGCCCUGCACUUCGGGAUAAGCUUGGGAAACUGGGUCUAAUACCGGAUAGGACCACGGUCUGCAUGGAUUGUGGUGGAAAGCUUUUGCGGUGUGGGAUGGGCCCGCGGCCUAUCAGCUUGUUGGUGGGGUGAUGGCCUACCAAGGCGACGACGGGUAGCCGGCCUGAGAGGGUGUCCGGCCACACUGGGACUGAGAUACGGCCCAGACUCCUACGGGAGGCAGCAGUGGGGAAUAUUGCACAAUGGGCGCAAGCCUGAUGCAGCGACGCCGCGUGGGGGAUGACGGCCUUCGGGUUGUAAACCUCUUUCAGCAGGGACGAAGGGUGACUGACGGUACCUGUAGAAGAAGCACCGGCCAACGUACGUGCCAGCAGCCGCGGUAAUUAGUCUACG
rnacentral:rRNA from 1 species